GGUGUUCACUUUGACAGCACAUACUAACAUUGGAAUGGAACAGUAGAAUGGCAUGGCCCCUGCGCAAGGCAGGCACGAAAAUCUGAGAAGUGUUCAAGAGAAAC